AGUCGAGCGGUAGAGAGGUGCUUGCACCUCUUGAGAGCGGCGGACGGGUGAGUAAUWUCUAGGAAUCUGCCUGGUAGUGGGGGAUAACGUUCGGAAACGGACGCUAAUACCGCAUACGUCCUACGGGAGAAAGCAGGGGACCUUCGGGCCUUGCGCUAUCAGAUGAGCCUAGAUCGGAUUAGCUAGUUGGUGAGGUAAUGGCUCACCAAGGCUACGAUCCGUAACUGGUCUGAGAGGAUGAUCAGUCACACUGGAACUGAGACACGGUCCAGACUCCUACGGGAGGCAGCAGUGGGGAAUAUUGGACAAUGGGCGAAAGCCUGAUCCAGCCAUGCCGCGUGUGUGAAGAAGGUCUUCGGAUUGUAAAGCACUUUAAGUUGGGAGGAAGGGCAGUUACCUAAUACGUGAYUGUCUUGACGUUACCGACAGAAUAAGCACCGGCUAACUCUGUGCCAGCAGCCGCGGUAAUACAGAGGGUGCAAGCGUUAAUCGGAAUUACUGGGCGUAAAGCGCGCGUAGGUGGUUUGUUAAGUUGAAUGUGAAAUCCCCGGGCUCAACCUGGGAACUGCAUCCAAAACUGGCAAGCUAGAGUAUGGUAGAG
rnacentral:rRNA from 1 species